UAGCCGUAUUUCGUUUGUGGCGGCGAACUGGCAGAAUCGAUAGCGCACCGGUCGAAGUGCUUAGCGUUAUUUUGCCUACCACUACGUUCUGACUUCAAAUUCCGCGGCGUCGACUUUGCCUUUCAUCCUUUCGGGGUCGAUGAAAUAAGUAUCAGUUCAGCACUGGGGUCGAUGUAACCGACUAGUUCCCUUCUUCGAAGUUUCAGGCAUUGUGUCUUAAGUAGAAAGAAUCAUUAUGAUUAUUAUUAUUAUUAUUAUUAUUAUUAUUAUU